AGAACGAACGCUGGCGGCAUGCCUAAUACAUGCAAGUCGAACGAACUCUUCGGAGUUAGUGGCGCACGGGUGCGUAACGCGUGGGAAUCUGCCCCUUGGUUCGGAAUAACAGUUGGAAACGACUGCUAAUACCGGAUGAUGACGAAAGUCCAAAGAUUUAUCGCCAAGGGAUGAGCCCGCGUAGGAUUAGCUAGUUGGUGAGGUAAAGGCUCACCAAGGCAACGAUCCUUAGCUGUCUGAGAGGAUGAUCAGCCACACUGGGACCGAGACACGGCCCAGACUCCUAGGAGCAGCAGUAGGGAAUAUGGACAAUGGGCGAAAGCCUGAUCCAGCAAUGCCGCGUGAGUGAUAGAAGGUACCGUUAGGGUUAGUAAAAGGCUCCUUUUACCCCGAGAGUGAAUAAAUGAACGUAGUAAUCGGGAAGAAA
rnacentral:rRNA from 1 species